AUGGCCCAUAAGCGCAAAAGCAUCAGCUUCAUCCCACCAGAUGGAGAAUUUGAACUCAUGAGGUAUCACACCACCAAGGACAUCAUCCUUCCUUUCCGGGUAAUCCACUAGUGCGGGAAGUGGGAUGCACCAAACUAGAGGUCAAAGUGGUCAUCAAGUCCAACUUCAAGCCCUCCCUGCUGGCUCAGAAGAUUGAGGUGAGAAUCCCAACCCCACUGAACACAAGUGGGGUACAGGUGAUCUGCAUGAAGGGGAAGGCCAAGUACAAGGCCAGCGAGAAAGCCAUCGUGUGGAAGAUCAAGCACAUGGCGGGCAUAAAGGAAUCGCAGAUCAGUGCAGAGAUUGAGCUUCUUCCCACCAAUGACAAGAAGAAAUGGGCUCGGCCCCCAUUUCCAUGAACUUUGAAGUGCCAUUCGCACCCUCUGGCCUCAAGGUGCGCUACUUGAAGGUGUUUGAACCGAAGCUGAACUACAGCAACCAUGAUGUCAUCACAUGGGUACACUACAUUGGUCGCAGUGGCAUUUAUGAAACUCACUGCUAGCUGCCAAGUGGUAGCUAGCCCACCUCCCCACACCUUCUACAGGUCCGGGUACCACCCCUUUCCCUGUCCCCCACUACAGCAGUGUCUCCUACUCCCUCUUGCUGCCUUCCCUCUGCAUCAGCCCCUGAGUCUAGGUCUGGACCAACUACUGCACAAGCAGGAGUGGUGGAGCAAUCCCUGGGCUCCCUGGACUCCCUGGGCAGGGGAGUUCUGGGGCUUCUGCUCUUCCAGCCAUCUGUCUGUCCUGGCCUACUGCCAGGAGUUCUGAGUUCUGUGACCAAAGGCAGGUGGGCCCCUUUUCCUUCUAACCCCUGUGGCCACAUCUCUAGAGUGUGAGGGUUGGCUGCCCCUCACCUUCGAGCUCCCCCAAAGGCCAGUAACAGAUCCCCAGCCCUCAAUCUCUGCUUUGGGAUAGUGUCAGCUUCAUUUUGUACACAUGUGACUUUGUCCAGUUACAAAUCCAAUAAACUGUAGAGUGG